rfam:Apis mellifera strain DH4 unplaced genomic scaffold GroupTn113, whole genome shotgun sequence.
GCCAACGACCAUACCACGUAGGAACUACUGGUUCUCGUUCGAUCACCAAAGUCAAGCUACGUCGGGCAUGGUUAGUACUUGGAUGGGUGACCGCUUGGGAACACCGUGUGUUGUUGGUU